AUGCAAGUCGAACGGCAGCGCGGGGCAACCUGGCGGCGAGUGGCGAACGGGUGAGUAAUAUAUCGGAACGUACCCAAGAGUGGGGGAUAACGUAGCGAAAGUUACGCUAAUACCGCAUACGAUCCAAGGAUGAAAGCAGGGGACCGCAAGGCCUUGUGCUCCUGGAGCGGCCGAUAUCUGAUUAGCUAGUUGGUGAGGUAAAGGCUCACCAAGGCGACGAUCAGUAGCUGGUCUGAGAGGACGACCAGCCACACUGGAACUGAGACACGGUCCAGACUCCUACGGGAGGCAGCAGUGGGGAAUUUUGGACAAUGGGCGCAAGCCUGAUCCAGCAAUGCCGCGUGAGUGAAGAAGGCCUUCGGGUUGUAAAGCUCUUUUGUCAGGGAAGAAACGGUAGGAGCUAAUAUCUCUUGCUAAUGACGGUACCUGAAGAAUAAGCACCGGCUAACUACGUGCCAGCAGCCGCGGUAAUACGUAGGGUGCAAGCGUUAAUCGGAAUUACUGGGCGUAAAGCGUGCGCAGGCGGUUUUGUAAGUCUGUCGUGAAAGCCCCGGGCUCAACCUGGGAAUUGCGAUGGAGACUGCAAGGCUUGAAUCUGGCAGAGGGGGGUAGAAUUCCACGUGUAGCAGUGAAAUGCGUAGAGAUGUGGAGGAACACCGAUGGCGAAGGCAGCCCCCUGGGUCAAGAUUGACGCUCAUGCACGAAAGCGUGGGGAGCAAACAGGAUUAGAUACCCUGGUAGUCCACGCCCUAAACGAUGUCUACUAGUUGUCGGGUUUUAAUUAACUUGGUAACGCAGCUAACGCGUGAAGUAGACCGCCUGGGGAGUACGGUCGCAAGAUUAAAACUCAAAGGAAUUGACGGGGACCCGCACAAGCGGUGGAUGAUGUGGAUUAAUUCGAUGCAACGCGAAAAACCUUACCUACCCUUGACAUGUCAGGAAGUCUUGAGAGAUCAGGAUGUGCCCGAAAGGGAACCUGAACACAGGUGCUGCAUGGCUGUCGUCAGCUCGUGUCGUGAGAUGUUGGGUUAAGUCCCGCAACGAGCGCAACCCUUGUCAUUAGUUGCUAC
rnacentral:rRNA from 1 species